UGGAAACGGUCUGGAACACUGGAUUCAUUCACUGUUGUGGGAACCCAAGGAUGAAAGGAAGGUCCCCAGGGGAGGCAGCCCAGGAUCCUCAUGGAAGCCCAUCAGGAGAUGAGACAAGAGCAGAUGGGGGGCCCCGGGGCUGUCAAGCAGGGCUGAAAUUCCUUAUAAGAUCAAACUCCUUCUUUGAAGCCAGUUAUGCCGCGAAGAACCAGAGUGUGUGUACAGAUGGGCCCAGUCAUCACCCUGAUGACCACCAGCCUCAGGCUCUGCUCAAGUUUUCUCUGGAUAAACGCCCAGGAGUGGGAUUGCUGAAUCAUGUGUGUGGUAACUCUGAGUGACGAGGAUGACAGAGAAUACUGUGGGAGUCAGAGCUGAUGAGUUUCAGGAAAUGCAGAGAAUAAAGGAACAACUGAAGUGACGUCACAAGGAAACAAUCAGCAUAUGUCUAAACAGACAGGACAGUCAUCAAGACACUGGUCUGGCUACUUCAAAUCAAUGUCAGUAGAAACACAAAAAUAACAAACAAAUAGACCAAUGUUUCUUCUAGAUUAAAGACACUUAAGACACAUAACAACCAAAUGGAAUUCUUGGUCCUCUAUUGGAUUCUGGUCUGAACAAUCCAUCUAAAGACGUCAUUUGGGGGAGAGUGAAAGAAAUUUGAGUAAAGACAAGGUAUUUGUUCAUUUUCUUAAAUACUGUUGGCUAUUCAGGAAAAUAUGUUUUGAAGAGAUACCUAUUGAAGGGUGAAAAUAUUUUAUUAGCUUUUUUGAUUUUGUUACUUUAAAAUACCUAAGCAGAAAAAAAUAGAUGAAACAAAUAUGGCAAAAUGUCAAAAGUAUUCAGUCUGAGUG